GUGCUUGCUUUGGCAGCACAUAUUCUAAAAUUGGAACAAUACGGAGAAGAUUAGCAUGGCCUCUGUGCAAGGAUGACACAAAAAUUUGUGAAGCCUUCCAUAUUUAG